rnacentral:rRNA from 1 species
GAUGAACGCUGGCGGCGUGCCUAAUACAUGCAAGUCGAGCGAACGGACGAGAAGCUUGCUUCUCUGAUGUUAGCGGCGGACGGGUGAGUAACACGUGGAUAACCUACCUAUAAGACUGGGAUAACUUCGGGAAACCGGAGCUAAUACCGGAUAAUAUUUUGAACCGCAUGGUUCAAAAGUGAAAGACGGUCUUGCUGUCACUUAUAGAUGGAUCCGCGCUGCAUUAGCUAGUUGGUAAGGUAACGGCUUACCAAGGCAACGAUGCAUAGCCGACCUGAGAGGGUGAUCGGCCACACUGGAACUGAGACACGAUCCAGACUCCUACGGGAGGCAGCAGUAGGGAAUCUUCCGCAAUGGGCGAAAGCCUGACGGAGCAACGCCGCGUGGGUGAUGAAGGUCUUCGGAUCGUAAAACUCUGUUAUUAGGGAAGAACAUAUGUGUAAGUAACUGUGCACAUCUUGACGGUACCUAAUCAGAAAGCCACGGCUAACUACGUG